AAAGAUCCCAGAAGACACUGCUUUUUAAAGUAUAAUACAAGUUAUAUUUGUUUUAUUUAUUAACAAAAUUGGAAAAUAAAGGAAAUGUAAGUAAUUUAUAAUCUUCAUUCUUUAACAUAUCACAAGUUAGCAUUGCAUUGAAUUUCCUUCAAAUUGUGGUGUUCUGUUUGAUUUUUUUGUGUCUAUGGAAAGUCUCUAGAACCUCAGCCUGAGAACCGGUGCCCUGAGGUGCUCCUGUUCACCUUGAGAGGGUCGGGAGGGCAGGACUGGGUCCUGCAAGACGAGCAUGUGGAGCCCCUGCAGGGAUACCUUUCACAAAGAACACGGUGUGACCUGCACCUCCUGGGGUCAGGCACGUGGCGGCCCUGUGAGCACCUCCAGCCCUCUCCUCCAAAUUCCGGAGCCAGUGGAGGGCUCAGCCUAGCAAACUCAGGGCCGUCCACGGACCGGGUCUCCACUUCCUGGGCAUGUUGUCGGGACAGCCUUCACCUGCCAGCAGGACCUUAACCAUCAUCUCUGUCCCUGCACGGCCGCGUGCGCCAGCGGCCACACCAGCGCUCUCCUCGGGGUUUCUGGUUCCCUUGAAGUGCGCUUAUCUGCCGUUGGCUCUUCUUCUUCCGCUCGCCACACUCACAUUUCCUCUUCUCGUUCUCUUUCAGCCCCUUUUCCUUCCUUGAUUCGUUCUCUUGACUCCAGGACAAGAGGAUGUCUGAAGUCAGAUUCCUAGUAGAAUGAUCUCUUUUAAGAAAAACUGCAUAACCUUGAUAGCUGUAAGGCAGAAAACAAUCAUGUGUGUCCAGGGCCACCCAGGGCAGGAGGACACCAUGUGGGGUGCCCAGGGCAGAGCCAGGCUUCACGGGGGCCCCAAACAGGGGACCCAGCUCUUCUGACUCCCAGCCCAGCUCCCUGCCCGAGCCAGUCAGGGCUUCUCAACACGGUUCAAUGUGCAGCCCGUGGUCAGAGCCAGGGCGAUGCCAAGAAAGUGGGAGAGGAGGGCUGCGGACAGUCAGACUCUGAGACCCAAGGACCUCAAGUGCCUGGACGAGACCAGGUCCUUCAGGAGGAGAACCGUCAAAAGAGGGAAUUCAAAGGGCUACAAAGAGGAGCUGAAGGAUGGGAAAUAAAUGGAAUAAAAGCAGCAGAAGUAGGAGAUAAAUUACAUGCAGACGGCUG
rnacentral:lncRNA from 1 species